UUAUACCAUUUUGACACUUAUUUAGGAAUGUUUAGAAGGUUUUGACUUGAAGAUGGUUGAUAAACUUUUAUGAUUUAACUGUUUCAGAAUUUUGGAUCGUAAAUUAGUUAAUUUUCCUUUUAUUUGCAAAGUGAAAUGUGGAAAUUUUGUAUGUUUCAGUUACCAAGACGAAUAGAGCUGAAUAUGCCCUAAGCUUGCUCCGUGAGAAGAAGAACGGGUUUGACAUCGUCAUAAGUGAUGUACACAUGCCAAAUAUUGAUGGGUUUAAACUCCUUGAGCACGUUGGGUUAAAUAAGAUAAAUCGGGGAGCUGAGAUGAAGGGGACCGACAACUAAAACAAGAUAAAUUCUCAAGGUUGGAACUUGGUUAUGACCGAGGUCGUAACAAUGUUGGAUCAUAUACAGACCCCUCUUCCAAUGCGUAAGAAGUCAGGCUGCACAUACCUGGCUUCAAAUGAGCAAGAACAACUACUCGCAUUAUAGCAGAGGGAUAUCAUGAAGAACAUGGAGUUGGAUACCAUAGUAUGCUGUCUAUGGAGAGUAUCUUCCAUUGUGGUUUAGUUUAAGGUAGUAUUUGUUUGUUUUCUAAAUUUUUUAGUCUCAACACAUUUUUCAGCUGAG